rnacentral:rRNA from 1 species
UUCGCAAUGCCCGAAAGGGUGACGAAGCGACGCCGCGUGGGUGAGGAAGGCCUUCGGGUUGUAAAGCCCUGUCAGGAGUUAAGAAAUGUAGACUCGCUAAUAUCGGGUCUAUUUGACAAAGGCUCCAAAGGAAGCCACGGCUAACUCUGCGCCAGCAGCCGCGGUAAUACAGAGGUGGCAAGCGUUGUUCGGAAUUAUUGGGCGUAAAGAGCACGUAGGUGGAUUUGUAAGUCAGACGUGAAAGCCUUCUGUUCAACGGAAGAAUUGCAUCUGAAACUACAAACCUUGAGUGUAGGAGGGGAGAAUGGAACUUCUGGUGGAGCGGUGAAAUGCGUAGAUAUCAGAAGGAACGCCGGCGGCGAAAGCGAUUCUCUGGCCUAUUACUGACACUCAGUGUGCGAAAGCUAGGGGAGCAAACGGGAUUAGAUACCCCGGUAGUCCUAGCCGUAAACGAUGGGCACUAAGUAGAGGGGUUUUA